UACGGAGGAGGCAAGCGUUAUCCGGAAUUAUUGGGCGUAAAGCGUCCGUAGGUGGUUCACCAAGUCUGCUGUCAAAGGGUGGGGCUUAACCUCAUAAAGGCAGUGGAAACUGGUGAGCUAGAGUGCGGUAGGGGUAAGGGGAAUUCCCAGUGUAGCGGUGAAAUGCGUAGAGAUUGGGAAGAACAUCGGUGGCGAAAGCGCCUUACUGGGCCUGCCCUGACUCUGAGGGACGAAAGCUAGGGGAGCGAAAGGG
rnacentral:rRNA from 1 species